UUUAUGGUAAUAAUUGCAUACAAAAGAUUUCUUGCCAAUUAAAGCAAAUUUUUAAAAAAAUUGAAGAAAAUUUCCAACUAGUUUCUCUAUAAAUUUAGGAGAAUUGCAUCUUACCUUCCAUUAAACAAAAAAGAAAGAGAAGAAGAAAAAGAAAAAGUGAUGAACAAUUCCCAAGUUUCUGCUCUAUUUUUCAUGUUGGUUCUUCUUUUCUCUACGGGAAAAGAGGUGGUAGCGACGGAAAAUGGACGCAGCUGCAGUGAAGGAAUAAAAAUGGUAGGACGUUGCAAAAACCCAGAAUGCUCGAAUUUAUGUAAGCAACGCCAUGGAGAUGAAGCCAUCGGAGUUUGUCUUGGUGGUUGCUUUUGUCGAUACCCUUGUCUUUCUUCUUAAAUCCAAUCCUUUUGUUUAAUUAAUGUUGGAUGUGCUGCAUCAUAUCUUUAAUAAUGCCAAAAUCUAUUCAUCUUUUCAUUGCUCUUAUACAA